AAUUAGUGUACGAGUAACGUACACAACAGUGGAAAAUCAAUGCAAAACAAGAGGGAGCAACCCAAACUAAAUAUUAUCACAGGCCAUGUUGUUGUUCUCAUUACAGGCACGUUGGUAAUGUCACUCCAUGACAAACAAAAGCCAGAACCAAGUAAGCAAUCACUAGUAGGAGGAUUAUCACCAUUAUCAUGAGCUUAACAUUUUUCCACCACACUGUAUUUCUGAAACGUCGAGCCUGCUUUCUAAAUCGCAUGGUGUUUCCUUGCAUGUUAGAAGCUUUAUCCACAAGCAGCUCCAAUCGGUCACCUCUCUCUAAAACUUUGUCAAUA
rnacentral:misc_RNA from 1 species